rnacentral:lncRNA from 1 species
AAAUGGGGAGCUGCAGGCCGCUGCUGUUUCCACCAGGUGGAGCUAAGUAGCAGCUGGCUCCAGUCCCGGACAGCAGGGCGCAUCGGUGUUUGUUCACUUAGCAAACACGCUUUCUUACAGGAAUGUAGCAACUACUUAAUGAAUGCCCACUGUGUCAGGCCCCAUCUUAGGUGCUAGAGAAACAACUGCGACGAGGCGGGCAGAGUCUUCCACCAUUUUGAAACUAACAGCCUAGAAAAGCCACUGUAAUCGUAGUGCGGCCUUUAGAGACAACGAGUACACCUGCGAUGCCAGGAAGCGCACAUAGAUGAGGGCCUACUAUCUUCUCCUUAAGGGACGGUUUCCCGGGGGAAAUGAUGCCUGAGACGAAAUUUGAGGAGUGCAUAGCCACUAAACAAGUGAAGAAGAUCCCCGGCGAAAAGGAAGACAUCACUCAUACCAUAGCGCUCAGAGAGUGCGGCCAGAUCACAGAAGGCAGGACUGGUGGGAGAUGAAGCUGAAGAGGAAGCAGGAGCCAGGCAGUGCUGAGCCCAGGGCAGAGCCUGGGUGGAAACACGCCUUCUGUCCGGAGGACCCUGACUUGCCACUGAAGAGUUUUAAGUAGAAAAGUCACAUGGUCAUGUGGGUCUUUUUUAAAGAAAAAAACAAAACAUAAAACAUUUUAUAAUU